GACCUGUUGGCGCACUCGGCAGCGCGCCCACAAUAGCUAAACAUCUCUGCACAGAAAAGUUAUGUGGGAGGCCCCAGUUCGACUCUGGGAUGGGUCA